rnacentral:pre_miRNA from 1 species
UACUCAGAUUGAUAUGAGUCACUUCCUAUUGCAUGUUACUCCAUCCUCUCUGAGUAGA